rnacentral:sRNA from 1 species
AAAGAGGAGAUCUGGCUUCAGACUUCAGAAGGACACAGGCAGCAGACAGUGGUCAGUCCCUUCUUGGCUCUGCUGACACUCGAGCCCACAUUCCAUCACCUGCUCACAAUCAUGCAGGUCUCCACUGCUGCCCUUGCCGUCCUCCUCUGCACCAUGGCUCUCUGCAACCAGUUCUCUGCAUCAUGUGAGUCUGAGUUUCGUUGUGGGUAUCACCACUCUCUGGCCAUGGUUAGACCACAUCAAUCUUUUCUUGUGGCCUAAAAGCCCCCAAGAGAAAAGACAACUUCUUAAAGGGCUGCCAAACAUCUUGGUCUUUCUCUUCAAGACUUUUAUUUUUAUCUCUAGAAGGGGUCUUAGCCCCCUAGUCUCCAGGUAUGAGAAUCUAGGCAGGGGCAGGGGAGUUACAGUCCCUUGGACAGAUAGUAAAACAGGGUUCAAAACGAAUCAGUUAGCAAGAGGCAGAAUCCAGGGCUGCUUCCUUCCCAGUGGGGUCUGUUGUUCACUCUCCAGCUCACUCUAGGUCUCCCAGGAGCUCUGUCCCUUGGAUGUCUUAUGAGAGAUGUCCAGGGCUUCUCUUGGGCUGGGGUAUGACUUCUUGAACCAGACAAAAUUCCCUGAAGAGAGCAAGAGAACACUCCGUUCAGGUAUCUGGAUCACAUAGAGAAACGGAGAACCCACUAUGAGGAGUCAAGGGGAAAGAAGAAUAUAGACAGAAACAAAGAGACGUUUCUCAGCAAAAAUGCCCAAAUGCCUUCCAGUCACUUGGUCUGAGCAAGCCUGCCUUCCUCAACUGCUUGGGGAUCAGAAGCUGCCUGGUCUUUUCUUCUGAGCUGUGACUCGGGCUCAUUCUCUCCUUUCUCCGCAGUUGCUGCUGACACGCCGACCGCCUGCUGCUUCAGCUACAUCUCCCGGCAGAUUCCACAGAAUUUCAUAGCUGACUAUUUUGAGACCAGCAGCCAGUGCUCCAAGCCGGGUGUCAUCUUCCUAACCAAGAGAGGCCGGCAGGUCUGUGCUGACCCCAGUGAGGAGUGGGUCCAGAAAUACGUCAGCGACCUGGAGCUGAGUGCCUGAGGGGUCCGGAAGCUUCAAGGCCCAGUGACCUCGGUGAGCCCAGUGGGGAGCAGGAGCCUGAGCCUUGGGAACAUCCCUGUGACCUCCACAGCUACCUCUUCUAUGGACUGGUUGUUGCCAAACAGCCACACUGUGGGACUCUUCUUAACUUAAAUUUUAAUUUAUUUAUACUAUUUAGUUUUUGUAAUUUAUUUUCGAUUUCACAGUGUGUUUGUGAUUGUGUGCUCUGAGAGUUCCCCUGUCCCCUCCCCCUUCCCUCACACUGUGUCUGGUGACAACCGAGUGGCUGUCAUCGGCCUGCUGUAGGUAGUCCUGGCACCAAAGCCACCAGACUGACAAAUGUGUAUCGGAUGCUUUUGUUCAGGGCUGUGAUCAGCCUGGGGAAAUAAUAAAGAUGCUCUUUUAAAAGGUAAA